UACGGAGGGGGCUAGCGUUGUUCGGAAUUACUGGGCGUAAAGGGCGCGUAGGCGGGGAGGUAAGUCGGGGGUGAAAUCCCUCGGCCCAACCGAGGAACUGCGCCCGAGACUGCUUCUCUUGAGUCCCGGAGAGGAAGAUGGAAUUCCCGGUGUAGCGGUGAAAUGUGUAGAGAUCGGGAGGAACACCGGUGGCGAAGGCGGUCUUCUGGACGGUGACUGACGCUGAGGCGCGAAAGCGUGGGGAGCAAACGGG
rnacentral:rRNA from 1 species